rnacentral:rRNA from 1 species
UAACGAAUAUUGCGCAAUGGGCGAAAGCCUGACGCAGCGACGCCGCGUGUAGGACGAAGCCCCUCGGGGUGUAAACUACUGUCAGGGGUUAGAAAGGCCGAGCAAUCGGUUUGAUCAGCCCCAGAGGAAGUCACGGCUAACUUCGUGCCAGCAGCCGCGGUAAUACGAAGGUGGCUAGCGUUGUUCGGUGUCACUGGGCUUAAAGCGCUCGUAGGCGGGACCGUAAGUGUCUUGUGAAAUCCCCCGGCUCAACCGGGGAAUGGCAGGGCAUACUGCGGUCCUUGAGGCAAACAGGGGUGCAUGGAACUCUUGGUGGAGCGGUGGAAUGCGUAGAUAUCAAGAAGAACGCCGAUGGUGAAGACAAUGCACUGGGUUUGUCCUGACGCUGAGGAGCGAAAG